CCUCCCCGCUGGGCAUCCGAGAGCUGAGUCAAAGGCUACAAAUUGCAGAGGGGCUGAAAGCGGGGUGCCGGGUCGGGACUUGUGACCUGGGAUUAUGGAGUCAGCUUUGGGGACGGGGAGGUCCAGGCUGUGGCCCCUUAGGCCACACGGUGGGAGAGCCUCACUUUUGUUCACAGUGCUGAGGUGCGCAGGACAGAGCAGUCCCGGGGCGUGUUGUAUCACUUGUCCGUCGUGCCUUCUGUGUCUUUUGUGCCUCUCCUGUUGUAUGUGCCUCGCCUUAUUUCUUCUGGGGGCUUACCAGAAACCCCGGUUUCACUCGUACCAUCUCCGAUCUCUGGGCUCUUCAGCCCGAUGCCAUCGAAGCUUUGCCUCAGGAGCUCGCAGAGGCCUUGGAAUUGCAUCUGUUUUGGAAAGCAUCCGAUCGGAUGUCUUUUAGAGGUCUUGUUCCGAGCUGUGUCAACAGCCGUGCGCCGCGAGGAUCCAUUGUUGCGGCUUAGGUCUUGAAGAAACACAAAGAUAGGUAGAGGACUGUGGCCCUAAAAUUCUCAGGCAUCCGUCUUGGCAGUUGCUGCAGUUUGUCAUUCCGUCAGCAUCUUCUUCCUCCCGGGUUCUGCGAGCUUCAUCAGCUCGCCUUCAUUCUCACCCGGCUCAUCUCGUUCCGCGUUCUCUCGGUCCUUGUGGCCAUUCUUGUGGCCCAGAGUUUUGUCUCCCCGUUGUGUCCCCUCGUCUGUUGUCUUGUGUGUCACGGGUGUCUGGGUGUAGUUGUCCCGGAGCUGCUCUGCCCUGCUGCCCAGCCUGGGUGUAGGUGUAAAAGGCCGAGUCCUAGGCCCCUGUAAUUUGAAAUUUGUCAUGUUGGGUGUAGUUGGAGUCUAGAGGGUGUUCCUAGAUUGACACAGGAUGUCUAGAGCUGUGAAGUUACCCUGCAGCACUUUGACUUUUGUCUUAGCUUUCUUUCAGAUGCAGAUGGAUGAAAUCGGUGGCAGAGCGCCCCAUCCAGGGUAAGGGGGUUCCCCCGAGAAGGUAAGUCAAUGUUUGUCUUUGCAGGGCAACUGGAACCGGUCACUGUGUUACAGGUCUCCUCUUUGUCUUUAUUCUUAGGAAGUGAAGCCGGCUAGCAGCAGUCAAGGCGAAGCGGGCAAGGCGGUCCAGUCACAUUUCGCUGCGAUCCCCUCGCCAACCGGCCAGCAUGCCUGCUUUGCCUCUGCCGUGAGCCCUACGGAAGCGUUAUGGAACCGUCUGAUGAAGCCUUGGCCUUUUGCACGUAAAGGGGCCGUGUGGGUGGCCUUCAGGAACGGGCCGAGGGGUUGCCGCGCGCCCUGCGACGACGGCGUCCGGCUUCCGGUGUGGCCGAAGCGUGCGGCCUCAGGACGCAGCUGUUCGCAGGAGACCCUGUCCGAGAGACGGCAGCCUGGCGAUGGCAGGAUCUUCCCAGAUGGCGAGGCGGCCUUCCUUGGCACUCCACGUGGAUCCACCCCGCCGGGCAUCCGAGAGCCGAGUCGAAGGCUAUGAAUUGCAGAGGGGCUGAAAGUUGGGUGCCGGGUCGGGACUCUGGACCUGGGAUUUUUAAGUCAGCUUUGGGGAUGGGGAGGUCCAGGCUGUGGCCCCUUAGGCCACGUGAAGGGAGAGCCUCACUUUUGUUCACAGUGCUGAGGUGCGCAGGACAGAGCAGUCCCGGGGCGUGUUGUAUCACUUGUCCGUCGUGCCUUCUGUGUCUUUUGUGCCUCUCCUGUUGUAUGUGCCUCGCCUUAUUUCUUCUGGGGGCUUACCAGAAACCCCGGUUUCACUCGUACCAUCUCCGAUCUCUGGGCUCUUCAGCCCGAUGCCAUCGAAGCUUUGCCUCAGGAGCUCGCAGAGGCCUUGGAAUUGCAUCUGUUUUGGAAAGCAUCCGAUCGGAUGUCUUUUAGAGGUCUUGUUCCGAGCUGUGUCAACAGCCGUGCGCCGCGAGGAUCCAUUGUUGCGGCUUAGGUCUUGAAGAAACACAAAGAUAGGUAGAGGACUGUGGCCCUAAAAUUCUCAGGCAUCCGUCUUGGCAGUUGCUGCAGUUUGUCAUUCCGUCAGCAUCUUCUUCCUCCCGGGUUCUGCGAGCUUCAUCAGCUCGCCUUCAUUCUCACCCGGCUCAUCUCGUUCCGCGUUCUCUCGGUCCUUGUGGCCAUUCUUGUGGCCCAGAGUUUUGUCUCCCCGUUGUGUCCCCUCGUCUGUUGUCUUGUGUGUCACGGGUGUCUGGGUGUAGUUGUCCCGGAGCUGCUCUGUCCUGCUGCCCAGCCUGGGUGUAGGUGUAAAAGGCCGAGUCCUAGGCCCCUGUAAUUUGAAAUUUGUCAUGUUGGGUGUAGUUGGAGUCUAGAGGGUGUUCCUAGAUUGACACAGGAUGUCAGGAGCUGUGAAGUUACCCUGCAGCACUUUGACUUUUGUCUUAGCUUUCUUUCAGAUGCAGAUGGAUGAAAUCGGUGGCAGAGCGCCCCAUCCAGGGUAAGGGGGUUCCCCCGAGAAGGUAAGUCAAUGUUUGUCUUUGCAGGGCAACUGGAACCGGUCACUGUGUUACAGGUCUCCUCUUUGUCUUUAUUCUUAGGAAGUGAAGCCGGCUAGCAGCAGUCAAGGCGAAGCGGGCAAGGCGGUCCAGUCACAUUUCGCUGCGAUCCCCUCGCCAACCGGCCAGCAUGCCUGCUUUGCCUCUGCCGUGAGCCCUACGGAAGCGUUAUGGAACCGUCUGAUGAAGCCUUGGCCUUUUGCACGUAAAGGGGCCGUGUGGGUGGCCUUCAGGAACGGGCCGAGGGGUUGCCGCGCGCCCUGCGACGACGGCGUCCGGCUUCCGGUGUGGCCGAAGCGUGCGGCCUCAGGACGCAGCUGUUCGCAGGAGACCCUGUCCGAGAGACGGCAGCCUGGCGAUGGCAGGAUCUUCCCAGAUGGCGAGGCGGCCUUCCUUGGCACUCCACGUGGAUCCACCCCGCCGGGCAUCCGAGAGCCGAGUCGAAGGCUAUGAAUUGCAGAGGGGCUGAAAGUUGGGUGCCGGGUCGGGACUCUGGACCUGGGAUUUUUAAGUCAGCUUUGGGGAUGGGGAGGUCCAGGCUGUGGCCCCUUAGGCCACGUGAAGGGAGAGCCUCACUUUUGUUCACAGUGCUGAGGUGCGCAGGACAGAGCAGUCCCGGGGCGUGUUGUAUCACUUGUCCGUCGUGCCUUCUGUGUCUUUUGUGCCUCUCCUGUUGUAUGUGCCUCGCCUUAUUUCUUCUGGGGGCUUACCAGAAACCCCGGUUUCACUCGUACCAUCUCCGAUCUCUGGGCUCUUCAGCCCGAUGCCAUCGAAGCUUUGCCUCAGGAGCUCGCAGAGGCCUUGGAAUUGCAUCUGUUUUGGAAAGCAUCCGAUCGGAUGUCUUUUAGAGGUCUUGUUCCGAGCUGUGUCAACAGCCGUGCGCCGCGAGGAUCCAUUGUUGCGGCUUAGGUCUUGAAGAAACACAAAGAUAGGUAGAGGACUGUGGCCCUAAAAUUCUCAGGCAUCCGUCUUGGCAGUUGCUGCAGUUUGUCAUUCCGUCAGCAUCUUCUUCCUCCCGGGUUCUGCGAGCUUCAUCAGCUCGCCUUCAUUCUCACCCGGCUCAUCUCGUUCCGCGUUCUCUCGGUCCUUGUGGCCAUUCUUGUGGCCCAGAGUUUUGUCUCCCCGUUGUGUCCCCUCGUCUGUUGUCUUGUGUGUCACGGGUGUCUGGGUGUAGUUGUCCCGGAGCUGCUCUGUCCUGCUGCCCAGCCUGGGUGUAGGUGUAAAAGGCCGAGUCUCAGGCCCCUGUAAUUUGAAAUUUGUCAUGUUGGGUGUAGUUGGAGUCUAGAGGGUGUUCCUAGAUUGACACAGGAUGUCUAGAGCUGUGAAGUUACCCUGCAGCACUUUGACUUUUGUCUUAGCUUUCUUUCAGAUGCAGAUGGAUGAAAUCGGUGGCAGAGCGCCCCAUCCAGGGUAAGGGGGUUCCCCCGAGAAGGUAAGUCAAUGUUUGUCUUUGCAGGGCAACUGGAACCGGUCACUGUGUUACAGGUCUCCUCUUUGUCUUUAUUCUUAGGAAGUGAAGCCGGCUAGCAGCAGUCAAGGCGAAGCGGGCAAGGCGGUCCAGUCACAUUUCGCUGCGAUCCCCUCGCCAACCGGCCAGCAUGCCUGCUUUGCCUCUGCCGUGAGCCCUACGGAAGCGUUAUGGAACCGUCUGAUGAAGCCUUGGCCUUUUGCACGUAAAGGGGCCGUGUGGGUGGCCUUCAGGAACGGGCCGAGGGGUUGCCGCGCGCCCUGCGACGACGGCGUCCGGCUUCCGGUGUGGCCGAAGCGUGCGGCCUCAGGACGCAGCUGUUCGCAGGAGACCCUGUCCGAGAGACGGCAGCCUGGCGAUGGCAGGAUCUUCCCAGAUGGCGAGGCGGCCUUCCUUGGCACUCCACGUGGAUCCACCCCGCCGGGCAUCCGAGAGCCGAGUCGAAGGCUAUGAAUUGCAGAGGGGCUGAAAGUUGGGUGCCGGGUCGGGACUCUGGACCUGGGAUUUUUAAGUCAGCUUUGGGGAUGGGGAGGUCCAGGCUGUGGCCCCUUAGGCCACGUGAAGGGAGAGCCUCACUUUUGUUCACAGUGCUGAGGUGCGCAGGACAGAGCAGUCCCGGGGCGUGUUGUAUCACUUGUCCGUCGUGCCUUCUGUGUCUUUUGUGCCUCUCCUGUUGUAUGUGCCUCGCCUUAUUUCUUCUGGGGGCUUACCAGAAACCCCGGCGUCGCUCGUACCAUCUCCGAUCUCUGGGCUCUUCAGCCCGAUGCCAUCGAAGCUUUGCCUCAGGAGCUCGCAGAGGCCUUGGAAUUGCAUCUGUUUUGGAAAGCAUCCGAUCGGAUGUCUUUUAGAGGUCUUGUUCCGAGCUGUGUCAACAGCCGUGCGCCGCGAGGAUCCAUUGUUGCGGCUUAGGUCUUGAAGAAACACAAAGAUAGGUAGAGGACUGUGGCCCUAAAAUUCUCAGGCAUCCGUCUUGGCAGUUGCUGCAGUUUGUCAUUCCGUCAGCAUCUUCUUCCUCCCGGGUUCUGCGAGCUUCAUCAGCUCGCCUUCAUUCUCACCCGGCUCAUCUCGUUCCGCGUUCUCUCGGUCCUUGUGGCCAUUCUUGUGGCCCAGAGUUUUGUCUCCCCGUUGUGUCCCCUCGUCUGUUGUCUUGUGUGUCACGGGUGUCUGGGUGUAGUUGUCCCGGAGCUGCUCUGUCCUGCUGCCUAGCCUGGGUGUAGGUGUAAAAGGCCAAGUCUCAGGCCCCUGUAAUUUGAAAUUUGUCAUGUUGGGUGUAGUUGGAGUCUAGCGGGUGUUCCUAGAUUGACACAAGAUGUCAGGAGCUGUGAAGUUACCCUGCAGCACUUUGACUUUUGUCUUAGCUCUCUUUCAGAUGCGGACGGAUGAAAUCGGUGGCAGAGCGCCCCAUCCAGGGUAAGGGGGUUCCCGCGAGAAGGUAAGUCAAUGUUUGUCUUUGCAGGGCAACUGGAACCGGUCACUGUGUUACAGGUCUCCUCUUUGUCUUUAUUUUUAGGAAGUGAAGCCGGCUAGCAGCAGUCAAGGCGAAGCGGGCAAGGCGGUCCAGUCACAUUUCGCCGAGAUCCCCUCGCCAACUGGCCGGCACAGCUGUUUCACCGCUCCCGUGAGCCCGGCGGAAGCGUUACGGGACCGUGA